AGUUUGAUUCUGGCUCAGGAUGAACGCUGGCGGCAUGCCUAAUACAUGCAAGUCGAACGGAGUGAAGCCUUCGGGUUUCAUUCAGUGGCGAACGGGUGAGUAAUACGCAGGGAACCUGGCCAUGGCAGGGGGAUACACUCUGGAAACGGAGCAUAAGACCCCAUAGGCAGUAAGGCGGCAUCGCCUUACUGUUAAAGAAAGCUGAAAGGCUUUGGCGAUGGAUGGACCUGCGGUGCAUUAGCUUGUUGGUGAGGCAACGGCUUACCAAGGCGAUGAUGCAUAGCCGGCCUGAGAGGGCGGACGGCCACACUGGGACUGAGACACGGCCCAGACUCCUGCGGGAGGCAGCAGUAGGGAAUUUUCGUCAAUGGGCGCAAGCCUGAACGAGCAAUGCCGCGUGAGUGAGGAAGGUCUUCGGACUGUAAAGCUCUGUUGCCGGGGAAAAAGGGGAAAUGCAGGAAAUGGCAUUUCAUGGAUGGUACCCGGCCAGAAAGCCACGGCUAACUACGUGCCAGCAGCCGCGGUAAUACGUAGGUGGCGAGCGUUAUCCGGAAUGAUUGGGCGUAAAGGGUGCGCAGGCGGGUCUGUUAAGUCUGAAGGCAAAGGGAUGAGCUCAACUCAUUUAUGAUUCAGAAACUGGCAGACUUGAGGACAGGAGAGGGCGGUGGAACUCCAUGUGUAGCGGUAAAAUGCGCAGAGAUAUGGAAGAACACCAGUGGCGAAGGCGGCCGCCUGGCCUGUGACUGACGCUGAGGCACGAAAGCGUGGGGAGCAAAUAGGAUUAGAUACCCUAGUAGUCCACGCCGUAAACGAUGAGGAGCAGGUGUUGGGAGUGAAAUCUCAGUGCCGAAGCCAACGCAGUGACUCCUCCGCCUGGGGAGUAUGCACGCAAGUGUGAAACUCAAAGGAAUUGACGGGGGCCCGCACAAGCGGUGGAGUAUGUGGUUUAAUUCGAAGCAACGCGAAGAACCUUACCAGGUUUUGACAUCGGAUGCGAAGGUGCAGAGAUGCGCUGGAGGUUAACAUCCAGACAGGUGGUGCAUGGUUGUCGUCAGCUCGUGUCGUGAGAUGUUCAGUUAAGUCUGGCAACGAGCGCAACCCCCGUGGUAUGUUACUAACGCUUAGGGCGAGGACUCAUAUCAGACUGCCGGUGACAAACCGGAGGAAGGCGGGGAUGACGUCAAAUCAUCAUGCCCCUUAUGACCUGGGCUACACACGUACUACAAUGGCGUCUACAGAGGGAAGCGACCCUGAGAAGGGAAGCGAAACCGGAAAAGGGCGUCCCAGUUCGGAUUGAAGUCUGCAACCCGACUUCAUGAAGAUGGAAUCGCUAGUAAUCGCGGAUCAGCAUGCCGCGGUGAAUACGUUCCCGGGCCUUGUACACACCGCCCGUCAAACCAUGGAAGCCGGCAACGCCCGAAGCCGGUGGCAUAACCUUUUAGGAGUGAGCCGUCGAAGGCGGGGCCGAUGACUGGGGUUAAGUCGUAACAAGGUAGCC
rnacentral:rRNA from 1 species